rnacentral:rRNA from 1 species
UACGUAGGGGGCAAGCGUUGUCCGGAAUCAUUGGGCGUAAAGCGCGUGUAGGCGGCCCGGUAAGUCCGCUGUGAAAGUCGGGGGCUCAACCCUCGAAUGCCGGUGGAUACUGUCGGGCUAGAGUGCGGGAGAGGCGAGUGGAAUUCCUGGUGUAGCGGUGAAAUGCGCAGAUAUCAGGAGGAACACCGAUUGCGAAGGCAGCUCGCUGGAACGUAACUGACGCUGAGACGCGAAAGCGUGGGGAGCAAACAGG